UUAAAUACAAAAUAAGGUUUGAUGUGUUCAUUUUACAGAUUUGUGUGCAUAUACUACGUUUUUAUUAAUUAUGGGUUGAAUGACUGAAAAACUGAUACUGUAUGUUGUCUGUUUGGCAUGAAUUACGAUUUGCUUGUUUAAAUGUGAAUUGAUGAUGCUGACUGAGGAAAAGAAAAAUAAAAGAUUGUGUAGACUGAUAAUUGUAUUAUGGGGUCAGCCUGACUAGAUAUCCUGAGAGAUGGUGGACGGACUGGGUCCGUAGGGAACCCUACUGGGAUUGUGGUCUCACAUGCCGGACGGGGUAUGGAGAUCUUAUGGUUUUGGCGCCCAUACCGGACGGGGUAUGGGGACGGCCCGUUUCACCCUCGUAUCGGACGGGGUAUUGAGGUUUAUGGUUUUGGCGCCCAUACCGGACGGGGUAUGGGGACGGCCCUGGAAACUGAUUAUGAACGUUAAAGGUUAACGGGUAGCGGGACCCCUAUGGACCCCCACGGAUACUAGUAGGCUGGUAAAUGAGAAAAAUAUAUGUUGUAUAAUGAUUGAAUUACAAGAGGCGUGAUAAGUGUUAUGUUUUACAGCUUAUAUUAUUCCAUGAUUAUGAUAAUGUUAUUGUUUUUCUUAUAUUGUUUCAUAAAUUCCACCGAGGUAAGUGGAUGGUAAAGGUUUUAUCAUAAAUAAAAGGAUUUGUUGUAAAACAUGCUCCAUGGGUCCUUUGCGUUUUCUACCCACCUUUACCUCCGUGACGGUGAGAUAUCGUGAUGUUCUUACUGGGCUAGUGUAGCUCACUCCUUAUUUAACCAUUUCAGAUCAGGAAGACAUGAUUCCCGAGCCCGUUCCACAGGAGGACGACGAAAGGGAUGCCUAN
rnacentral:lncRNA from 1 species